ACUUUCAGCAACGGANCNCNNGGCNCNCGCANCGAUGAAGAACGCAGCGAAAUGCGAUAAGUAAUGUGAAUUGCAGAAUUCAGUGAAUCAUCGAAUCUUUGAACGCACCUUGCGCUCCUUGGUAUUCCGAGGAGCAUGCCUGUUUGAGUGUCAU
rnacentral:rRNA from 1 species